CCCUCCCUCAUGCACGUCAGCAAAACAACACAUUGUGUGGUGUCCUUGCCUUAAAGUUUGCUGAGAAAAUAAUUAGGGGAGGCAAUAAACAUCAAAACCACACAGAAGGCAGUAAACAAGCUGAGGCUAGAUUUAGCCACUGCCCUCCUCUGAGAAACUGACAAUCUCAGCAACCGGUGCCACUACUGUGGGAUGGAGGAGAAGGAUGAGCAACUAUGG